rnacentral:lncRNA from 1 species
GAAGUACAGGAACAGCUGUGGCUGCAGCAAAGCAAAAUCCGACAUCUAAGAACUGGUAGCAAUCAGGUGCAGUAGAUACGAAUCUCAGUUCACAAACCAAGACAGUGGGAUAUUUUCUGUGUCUGAAGUARAGGCCAAGGCAUUGUGUAUGACUCUGCCUUCCAUAGUCUUCCUGAUUUGAGAAGCUCAACACCUAUAAUCCCUUGCUCCUAAACAUUUGUCUAUGUCAAAAGUGCUUCCUGCACCUAAAGGGGAUUGCACUGGAACAAGACCCAACAGCCAUAUCUCAUCUUCCCUUUGUAAUUCAGAGACUUUGCUUAUUAUUCUCAUACCCAUUCCUGUUUCUUCCCCUGAAUAUACUGCAGCCCUAUGUUUCCCCUUUUGGCAGAACAACGAUGACCCAGGAAGAAUAGCAUUAUGUUCCAAAAUGUCUUCUUCCCACAUUCAUGUAUUCCCAUUCCAAGUUCUUCCUAAC